rnacentral:lncRNA from 1 species
AUCUCUUAUAAAAUCAUACAGGAAACAUUAUCAAACAUAAAAUGAUGUUUGACUUUCUUUAUUCUAAAAACUAAUAAAAAUAGGUGCUAAAAAUUUUCCAAAUGAAAAUAAAUAUUGCUAAACCAAAGAGAAAUGUUAUCUAAGCCCCGUAUAAAAAAUAAAUAAAUCUUGUUCCAAUUGCAUCAAAAAACCCAUUAAGGGCCCUCCAGCACAGGGUUAAUACCAACGAGUUUCCACCUCCAGCUGCUCCUAGAGUGGCCACAGCAUGAGCCAUCUGGUGGGGGACCUAGCCGCCAACAGACACUUCCUGUACAGGGGAGGGGGGAGGGGGCCAGGCAGCCGUUAGACAGCACAACCGAACCCAACACCGGGGCCCAACGGCAGGGGCUUGGGCAGGAGCAAGGUCCGAGGGCUGCCAGGUCCACGCUGCUUUUAUGAGCUGUAACACUCACCGCGAAGAUCUGCAGCUUCACUCCUGAGCCCAGCGAGACCACGAGCCCACCGGGAGGAACAAACAACUCCAGACGCGCUGCCUUAAGAGCUGUAACACUUGCCGUGAAGGUCUGCAGCUUCACUCCUGAGCCAGCGAGACCACGAACCCACCAGAAGGAAGAAACUCCGAACACAUCUCAACAUCAGAACGGACAGACUCCAGACGCACCACCUUAAGAGCUGUAACACUCACCGCGAGGUUCCGCGGCUUCAUUCUUGAAGUCAGUAAGACCAAGAACCCACCAAUUCCGGACACAGUAGCAUUUGGGAAUAAUAAGAAUUGUAGCUGGGCAUGGUGGUACACGCCUGUAGACCCCUAGCAGCUGCCAUCAUCCUCACCAUCCGCAUAUUAUUGAUAUAUUAACUCUUUGAUGGCAACCAUAGCUUAUCCCCCUUAUCUCCCUAUGCCCUACAGCAGGGCAGUGGAAUGGUUAAGAGGCUUUGAAGUCUAAGAGUGCUGGCUUAAAACCCUAAUUUGUCAUUUUGGAUGUGUGGCUUUGGACACUUGGGGCAGGUCACCUAUGUUCUUCAAGCCCUGUAUCCUUAUCUGUCAGAUGAUGAUUUUUUUUUUUUUAGACGAAGUCUCACUCUCUUGCCCGGGCUGGAGUGCAGUGGCAUGAUCUCGGCUUACUGCAAGCUCCACCUCCCGGGUUGACGCCAUUCUCCUGCCUCAGCUUCCUGAGUAGCUGGGACUACAGGCUCCUGCCACCACCCGUGGCUAAUUUUUUUGUAUUUUUAGUAGAGACAGGGUUUCACCAUGUUAGCCAGGAUGGUCUCGAUCUCCUGACCUCGUGAUCUGCCCGCCCCAGCCUCCCAAAGUAUCAGAUGAUUUUAACAACUAUGCUUCCAUGACUUGCUGGGCUAGAUGAUAUGACUGUAAAAUGCCUAACCCAUGGUUUAGCAUCAAGUAAGCAAAUUGUAAAUGGUAGCACUGCUCUGCCUAUGACUAUUUAGUCUUGUGCUUUAAACUCAAAUAUUUGUUGGCCUACUGAAGUCACCACACAGAGAAAGAUGCUUUUCAUUCUCAGUAAAGAACUUUGGGAGAUAACUGGGGCAGGCAGCAAGAGAACAGAUGUCAUAUGUCUAGCAUCAGCAAACUCAUCAGAACUGAUGGGCAGCUCACUUUGCUUAGAACCUGCACCAGCAUACACACGGGGCUGCUUCCCAGUCACACUGCUCCUGGGAAGGUAGGGGGGCUGCUGUUCUGCAAUUAGCGCGGUUCUUUACCUCCUAUUACCGAACUGCCAGAGUUCAUUUGUGUUCAGUUAGGUAGAUGACCAAUUCUUGUUCAUUCCUAUUUUCUUUUGCUCACUAAUGUGUUUAACGUUCACUAACCUACCAAAUGUGAUUUAUUAGCGACUUUUUCUUUGAAGAUGGAGUGGAGGAAUCCUAGCGCUUUCUGCAACAUGCUACUGCUGUUAUGGAACAGUGCAGAUAUGGAAGUGCAUCAGCCGGGGAUGGGGAGAGGCUAGGGCAGUACAUGUGAAUGGAGAGGUAGCCCCACCAGUGUGUUUUCUGAAAUACAGUCCCGCAGAGGGCAGUCUUGGGAAAUUACUGUUCUCACACACUCUUCUUGACCCUACCCCUCCAGCACCUCCCUUGCUAUCCAAGGGUUGGGAUUUUUAAAAAGAAAAACAAAUUUUAAAAAAAGCAGUGUGAAUCUUUUGCCAUCUUGUAAGGGUGAAAAGCCCCCUACCAAGUCGGGAUGAACAUUCAUGCGUGUGCUUGAGGGCUUGGGAAAAAGACAGGGCUUGGCCCCACAGUGCAGGUAGGCCCAGUGAUCCUAUAAUAGGGGCCAGGAGAUGGGAGGUCCCCUGUGGGCAGGAGUUCAAGUAUGUGGUAUUAUAUGACUGGUGCUUGAUGAACCCAGGGAGAGGGCACCAAAAACAAUGGUAUUUAAUUGUAAAAUCUCCACCCCCUGAGGAUAUGUUUUCAGGUCUGGGUGACUAAUUAGACUGGGAAACAAGGGCAGGAACGAUGGCCCUGUGCUUGCUCUGCCCGCUGCCUCUGUGGAUGUGUGGGCUGCUGGCUUCAGUCCUGCUUUUCUUUCUGAUGGUAUUGUUUAUGCUAUGUGUUUUUGCAGGAGGCCUGAGGUGGGCUGGGUUCUCCUCCUAUGGCAGGGCUUCACUCUCCUCCUCCUUCUCUGUUGGGGCUUCACUGUCCCUGGGAUAAGAAUAACAAUGCCAAGGUUUUCAUUCUUGAAAGGAGCAAUUAAGCGUCUCACCCCCUCCUCAUUUUAGAUGGGAACUGUGAGGGUCCCGUCAUUUACCCAGGGUCCCUGUUGAGGAUCUUGUCCUCAUUAGAUGACUUCUUGUGCAGCUUCCAUGCGUGAUUCUUUACUCUUGUGGCACUGAGAGGUUUGUACAUGUCUUUAAGCCAGAGCGGCUUUCUGAAUGAAAAAAGUCCAUCCUAGAAGAUAGAAAGGGAAAUAUUAAUUUUGCAUGUCCUCUGCUUUCCCUGGUCACAGCAAUGAAUCCUCCAAUGUACCUGACUCUCCCUUUGCGAAGAGCAUCUCCGUGGCAGAAAUCUGAAAAUGCCCCUGGGGAGACACAUGCACAAGACAGUUCGUGAGCCACACAUCUCCCCACACCAAGCUCCUCCAUACAAGACCUCGGACUGCAUCACGUAAAUGCUUUUUCAGGGGCAAAAUCUAGAGAAUCUGAAACGAGCUAUCAGCUUCCCAGUUUGCACAAUUCAUCAAGAAAUUAUGCGGGGUCACUGGCACAAAUGAUGAGGCAUCUCCUGGAAGCUUAACUUCUUAUCCAUCCCAUCUCUUGGACAGAUGAUGCCAGUUAAUUACUUUGAAUAUUAGGGUACCAGAGGCCCAGGCAGUACUUUUGGGGUAGACGAGGUACAGACCUUUGGCUCCUCACUGUCUUCAAGCCCACAAGAAGCAUAGAGCAGAAGAAGACAGAGGAGGGCCCAUCUGGCCCACUACCUGUUCUUGUAAAUAAAGCUUUAUUGAAGCCAGGUGCUCACCUUCUAGCACAUUCUUCAAGAGUUACUCUGAGGCAAGCCAGCCGCCAUGUCAUGAGGACACUCAAGCAGCACCAUGGAGAGGUCCGAUGGCGAGGAACAGAGGAUCCCCCUGCCGACAGCCAAUGAGGAACAGGCCUCCUGCCAACAGCCGUGUAAGGGGUCACCUUGGAAGCCAAUGGCCCCUCCCUGGUCAGGCUUUUACAUGACUGCAGUCCUGGCCAACAUCCUGACGGCAACCUCAUGAGAGACCUUGAGCCAGAGCCACCCACCUAAGCUGCUUAUAGGUUCCUGGCCCUCAGAAAUCACAUGAGAUCAUAAAUGUUUGCUCAAUUUGAGAUAUUUGUGAUGUAGCAAUAAAUAACAAACACACUUA